rnacentral:rRNA from 1 species
CAGAAUGAACGCUGGCGGCAUGGAUUAGGCAUGCAAGUCGUACGAGAAUCCUCUCUUCGGAGAGGAGGACAGUGGCGAAAGGGUGAGUAACACGUGAGUAUCUACCUCCAGGUCGGGAACAGCCCGCGGAAACGCGGAUUAAUGCCCGAUGGUCCCUUCGGGGUAAAGAGGAAUCGCCCGGAGACGAGCUCGCGGCCCAUCAGCUUGUUGGCGGGGUAACGGCCCACCAAGGCGACGACGGGUAGGUGGUCUGAGAGGAUGGUCACCCACACUGGGACUGAGAUACUGCCCAGACUCCUACGGGAGGCUGCAGUCGAGAAUCAUCCGCAAUGGGCGAAAGCCUGACGGUGCAAUGCCGCGUGGGGGAUGAAGGCCUUCGGGUCGUAAACCCCUGUCAGAGGGGACGAAAAACAUGACGGUACCCUCAGAGGAAGCCACGGCUAACUACGUGCCAGCAGCCGCGGUAAUACGUAGGUGGCGAGCGUUAUUCGGAUUUACUGGGCGUAAAGGGUCCGCAGGGGGUUUGCCGAGUCCGAUGUGAAAGUCCGCAGCUCAACUGCGGAACUGCGUCGGAUACUGGUGAACUUGAGUGCGCGAAGGGCGAGCGGAAUUCCAGGUGUAGCGGUGGAAUGCGUAGAUAUCUGGAAGAACACCGGCGGCGAAAGCGGCUCGCUGGCGCGCCACUGACCCUCAUGGACGAAAGCGUGGGGAGCGAACAGGAUUAGAUACCCUGGUAGUCCACGCUGUAAACGGUGCAGACUCGAUGCGGGGGGCGGUCCCCUCCGUGUCUAAGCCAACGCGUUAAGUCUGCCGCCUGGGGACUACGGCCG